rnacentral:rRNA from 1 species
AGGGCCCAUAAAUUCAAGGUAUGUUAGCUAUCGUUUCUCAAUUGACCCCUUGUCUUCGAUAAGCGCGUGUCUUUUAGAGUUUAAACAUUGCGCAUGCUGUUGGGUCCUGAAAGCAACGAACGUGACCGCAACGUCUUAUUGCCUUUAUCUUGUUAUAUUCUAAUUUAAUUAGAAAUAACUAACAGAGGCUAAUUUAAAAUUAGACGGACCGCUGUACUUUUCUUAAACCAGAGGAAGGUUGCGGCAAUAACAGGUCUGUGAUGCCCUUAGAUGCCCGGACCGCCACCUUCCUCUGGUGGUUUAAGAGUAGUACAGCG